rnacentral:rRNA from 1 species
GAUGAACGCUGGCGGCGUGCCUAAUACAUGCAAGUCGAGCGAAUGGAUUAAGAGCUUGCUCUUAUGAAGUUAGCGGCGGACCGGUGAGUAACACGUGGGUAACCUGCCCAUAAGACUGGGAUAACUCCGGGAAACCGGGGCUAAUACCGGAUAACAUUUUGAACCGCAUGGUUCGAAAUUGAAAGGCGGCUUCGGCUGUCACUUAUGGAUGGACCCGCGUCGCAUUAGCUAGUUGGUGAGGUAACGGCUCACCAAGGCAACGAUGCGUAGCCGACCUGAGAGGGUGAUCGGCCACACUGGGACUGAGACACGGCCCAGACUCCUACGGGAGGUAGCAGUAGGGAAUCUUCCGCAAUGGACGAAAGUCUGACGGAGCAACGCCGCGUGAGUGAUGAAGGCUUUCGGGUCGUAAAACUCUGUUGUUAGGGAAGAACAAGUGCUAGUUGAAUAAGCUGGCACCUUGACGGUACCUAACCAGAAAGCCAUGGCUAACUACGUGCCAGCCGCCGCAGUAA